AGGGGCAGGUAUCCUGUGCCUGCCUUUGCCACUUCUCACAGGCAUCCUGAGGCUUGUGAUCAUGAGCAAAAGGAUGGAUGUGUGACAGCGGGGUAGAAGGCCAGUACACGGGUGAGCCUCACUGUCAAAGAGGAGAGGAGGGUAGAGCCUGAAGACGCACCUCCCUGACCUCUAAGCCCACGGCCAAACCUCAUGCCUAGGACCCUGGACUUCCUGAAGCUCUUCGAUGAGCCCUUGGUCUUGUCCCCACUCUUACAGGGGAGGAAACUGAGGCAGGGAACUAGAGCAGCAGCCCCUUCUGGCUGGGGCACCCCAAAGUCAGUUUUUUCUCCACAGAUGGGAUGCUUCUCUGCCCAAAUCCCUUUUCCAAAGGGCUCAAGACAUCACAGUUCCUUUCUGAUGUCAGGGACAGCUGGCUUGGCCUGCGCAGAGCCUCCCAGUUUAGGCCUCUGGUCGUGAGCCAGGUCCUUAUGAAACAGAGCAGAGGGGCGGACUGCUGGGCUUAAUGAGCCAGGUGUAUGUGGCCGAGCUGGCUGCAGGGUGUGCUGGCCAGCUGGGGACAGCUGUGGCUCUCCUGUGUGUACACAGUGCUGUGGGGGCUGGAUAAAUUGUUCCCAGUGAACAGCAGAGAGGAGAGGGCAGAAGCGGCUGGGGCACUAGAAUAAGAAGGCCCUGAAACCUGGGGGCUUCCAGAAGGCACCUGGAACAUACAGGGGAAGGCAGAGGCUCUGGAUGUCUCAAAGGGCAGGCAAUGGGCUGCCUCCAACAGAGUCAUCACGGGGCCUGUUAAAUGCCAAUUCCUAGGGCACCCCUACCCCCAGCCACUGGGUCAGGAUCUCUGCAGGCAAGACAGAAAUUGAAACUUUAAAUCAAUCAGCACAUGGGAAUACAAGAACCACUGCCUUACUGGGUUAACUUGGCCAGAACUGGGGGUGGGGGUGCGUCAUCCGAAGUCUGGCUCAGGUGGAUCCAAACACGAAAGCGAAUAAAGAGGAGGGGGCGGUUGCUACAAAGGGCGAAGUCCAGAAUACGACCAACCUACUGGCCUGGCUCCCAGAGGUGUUGAAAACACUUCCCCCCAAGGCUUCCUCACCGCCUCCCUGCUACUCCCACACCCCCGGGUCCCUCAAACCAUGUCCAAAGUUCAACAGUUUCAAAGAGGCAGCCCUGAAGUGAAGGAACAAACAUGGCCUUUGGCAACAGCAGGUUGGGUUUCCAAUCUGGACUGCCAAGGCCCUGUGAGCUGUGUGGCCUUGGAAGGGUCCCGGGAGGGCCCUUGUGAUGUGGUCCCUUAGGGCCUGGGUGAGGAUAACACAGGUCUAUGUGUGUCAAGGCCAAGCGCAUUGUGGUUCUCAGGAAUAAGGAUUCCUUCCUCUUUCCCACUCCCUACCCAGCCACACACCCACCCUUCCCUUUGUUCCUUUCUCUGUUAUGCAACCAAAGUUUAAAUCCUUCGUAGAUUCACUGCCAGCAAACAGCAAAACAGUGGCCUGGCAAAGGGAGGUUUCGAAAGCCACAUUGCCCACAUUCUUGUCCACGUGCUCUAGGACAGGACCUCUGCACUCUUUCCCCAAUAUCGCAAAGAGCCCCGUAAGUGGUUACUUCGCCGAAUCGCCGAGCUGUGGCCAGCUGUUGCUAUGGCGACCAGAACCCGCUGACAACCAUCUCGAAGGGCCUCUGAGGAGGAGACUGCUUGGCUUCCAUUCACGCGCAGUUCAAACGGCUCGCCCACAGGUCACCCUGCCUGGGACAGAUGCCUAAGGCCUCUCCCAUUACCUACCAGCUCAGGCUGGAGAGGAGGAGGAGGCCAGUCACAGGGACUGAGGGGCUCACCUGGGAGUCUGUAUAUGCUGGGGAGCCAACAAAGGUUGCAUGCGGCAUGUGCACUUUGGAUCAGAAGAGCCUGGGUUCUCAGGAGAGAAGCCACGAGGAUCUUCACUGGGCAGGGCCAGUAGGGAGGAACUGAGGACCUGGCCAGAGAGGCACUGUAGAGGCCCUACGAUGGGCCUUUAGUGACAGAAGAGAGAGUGAGGGUGAAGGAGGAAGGGAAGGUUCUGGCAUAUGAAGUGACUGUGUAAGUCCUGGAGCAGGGGACAUUGGCCACCAUUCUCCAGGGUGGCCCUCAGUGAUCUCACCUCCUGAUAUCCCACACUAUAUCAGGACUGGCCUAUGUGACCACGAGCCACACAGGAAGGAGGAUGACAUAUGACCCAAAGCUAGGCCAUCAAAGACAUUGCAACUUUUCUGCCUUACUUCCUUUUCUCUGAUCAGCUCUGGGGAAAAGCCAGCUGCUACACUGUGGGAAUACAUAGCCUCAAGAAGAGGCCCUCACGGCAUAGGACUGGGGCCUUCUGCCAAAACCCAGCGAGAUGCUGGGCUCUCCCACCAAUGGCUGUGCGAGCGAGCGGGAAACAGACCCUCCGGCCCCAGUCGGCUUCAGAUGCUGGCAGCCCCACCUGUAACCUCAAGGCAGGCCUUGAGCCAAACCAUCCAGCUAAGCUGCUCCGAAUUUUCUGACCCACAACAACCGUGAGAUAAUAAAUGUUUGCUAUUCCAA